AUUGAACGCUGGCGGCAGGCCUAACACAUGCAAGUCGAACGAGUGGCGGACGGGUGAGUAAUGUCUGGGAAACUGCCUGAUGGAGGGGGAUAACUACUGGAAACGGUAGCUAAUACCGCAUACCAUCGGAUGUGCCCAGAUGGGAUUAGCUAGUAGGUGGGGUAAAGGCUCACCUAGGCGACGAUCCCUAGCUGGUCUGAGAGGAUGACCAGCCACACUGGGACUGAGACACGGCCCAGACUCCUACGGGAGGCAGCAGUGGGGAAUAUUGCGCAAUGGGGGCAACCCUGACGCAGCCAUGCCGCGUGAAUGAAGAAGGCCUUCGGGUUGUAAAGUUCUUUCGGUAGCGAGGCGUUAACUACAGAAGAAGCACCGGCUAACUCCGUGCCAGCAGCCGCGGUAAUAC
rnacentral:rRNA from 1 species